GGGGUGUGGCUCAGUGGUAGAGCCCCUGCCUAGAAUGCAGGAGGCCCUGGGUUCAAUCCCCAGUACUGACA